UUUUCCCACCGCCAUUGACUUCUUUAUCUUCCUUUCUUAUUCUGUUUUGGGUUGUUGAGGAAAACGAAAAGAAACAGAGCACGAGAGAGAGAGAGAACACGAGAGCUUCAGGAAGAGCUCGACUUUGCCUCAGGUUCAAUUACCGACCAAUUUCGGGAGCUGAGGAGACCGAGAAUAUACACCUGGAAGGCUCGACUCGUUGAGUUAUCGUUUUGGGGGGUCUUAAUGAGCCGGGAGCUAGAUUAACCGCACAUGAUAUCUUUUUGGACAACUAGGAUCAGCGCAGAGGAUCUUUUUGCAGUAGGGCCCACUCCUAGUAUAAGUAGUAAGUUCUUGUAGAAUGUUAUGAUUAAGUUACGACCUGGAACUUUUGUUUAGUUGGGUUAGUAAUAGGGUUGUGGAAAGUACUCUCUUGAGAGUUAUAUAUAUAUAUAUAUAUAUAUAUCAGAACCUGCUGAAUUGAUUAUAUGCUUUUGGUAUA